AUGGCCAUGCCAUGCUGAAUAUACCGGUUCUCGUUAGAUCACCGAAGUCAAGCAUCAUUGGGCGCGGUCAGUACUUGGGUGGGUGACCACCUGGGAACACUGCGUGCCGUU